rnacentral:tRNA from 1 species
GGUUCUAUGGUCCAGUGGAAAGGAUAUUCCCCUGUCACGGGAAAGGCCCGAGUUCAAUUCUCGGUAGAACCG